rnacentral:rRNA from 1 species
CGUUCUGUAAGCCUGCGAAGGUGUGCUGUGAGGCAUGCUGGAGGUAUCAGAAGUGCGAAUGCUGACAUAAGUAACGAUAAAGCGGGUGAAAAGCCCGCUCGCCGGAAGACCAAGGGUUCCUGUCCAACGUUAAUCGGGGCAGGGUGAGUCGACCCCUAAGGCGAGGCCGAAAGGCGUAGUCGAUGGGAAACAGGUUAAUAUUCCUGUACUUGGUGUUACUGCGAAGGGGGGACGGAGAAGGCUAUGUUGGCCGGGCGACGGUUGUCCCGGUUUAAGCGUGUAGGCUGGUUUUCCAGGCAAAUCCGGAAAAUCAAGGCUGAGGCGUGAUGACGAGGCACUACGGUGCUGAAGCAACAAAUGCCCUGCUUCCAGGAAAAGCCUCUAAGCAUCAGGUAACAUCAAAUCGUACCCCAAACCGACACAGGUGGUCAGGUAGAGAAUACCAAGGCGCUUGAGAGAACUCGGGUGAAGGAACUAGGCAAAAUGGUGCCGUAACUUCGGGAGAAGGCACGC